rnacentral:rRNA from 1 species
AGCAGCCGCGGUAAUUCCAGCUCCAAUAGCGUAUAUUAAAGUUGUUGCAGUUAAAAAGCUCGUAGUUGAAUUUCGGGGUCAGUAGGUUGGUCGUGCCAAUGGUAUGCACUGGCUUUACUGAUUCCUCCUUCUUGAAGAACUGUAAUGUCAUUAAUUUGGUGUUGCAGGGAAACAGGACUGUUACUUUGAAAAAAUUAGAGUGUUUAAAGCAGGCUAACGCUUGAAUACAUUAGCAUGGAAUAAUGAAAUAGGACGUUCGAUCCUAUUUUGUUGGUUUCUAGGAUUGACGUAAUGAUUAAUAGGGAUAGUUGGGGGCAUUAGUAUUCAAUUGUCAGAGGUGAAAUUCUUGGAUUUAUUGAAGACUAACUACUGCGAAAGCAUUUGCCAAGGAUGUUUUCAUUAAUCAAGAACGAAAGUUAGGGGAUCGAAGACGAUCAGAUACCGUCGUAGUCUUAACCAUAAACUAUGCCGACUAGGGAUCGGAUGAUGUUAAUUUUUUAAUGACUCA